AGCGCAGCCUGGUAGCGCACUUCCUUGGGGUGGAAGGGGUCGCUGGUUCAAAUCCAGUC
rnacentral:tRNA from 1 species